GUUGGAUCCGGCACUGGGUGUCAGGCUUUUCAAUUGAGGGAGGCAGCAGCAGGGUUCCUCCAAUGCGCGCAAGCUCUGGCUGCUGCUCGAGCCGCUACUGGAGGAUUUCUUUGUCUCGGCCAUGCACUGGAUGCCGAUCUGCGGCGCCGCGUCUCGCAUCGAGCUAAGCAGCUAGUUAGAAUAUUUGGGAAUCGCCGCUCGGAAUCGCCCCUCCGCUCGCACGGCGCCUCUGCGGCGCCUAGGCGGCAGAGAUAAAGCUUGAAUCGUGGCACCGAUCUCCCGAAGAAAUUGAGGUGAUUUUGGGGCUUGCUUUUCACGGAGAAUGGAGAACGACGUAGAGAAGCCCAGCAAGGCUGCAAUGCUCGAGGCCAUUAACAAGGAGGCCGUUGAUCUGGAAAACAUUCCCAUUGAGGAGGUCUUUGAUCAACUGCGAUGCACGAGGAAAGGUCUGACGAGCGAAGAGGGCGAGGAGCGCCUCAAAAUUUUUGGUCAUAACAGGCUAGAGGAGAAGCAGGAGAGCAAGUUUUUUAAGUUCCUGGGAUUCAUGUGGAAUCCUUUGUCUUGGGUGAUGGAAGCUGCAGCAGUGAUGGCCAUAGCUCUCGCUAACGGAGACAAUCGGCCGCCCGACUGGCAAGACUUCGUUGGGAUCAUAGCAUUGCUCGUCAUUAACUCAACCAUAAGCUUCAUUGAAGAAAACAACGCUGGAAAUGCGGCGGCGGCCUUAAUGGCGCGUCUUGCACCAAAGACUAAGGUGUUGCGAGACGGUCGAUGGGGCGAGCAGGAUGCCAGUAUUUUAGUUCCCGGUGACAUUGUAAGCAUCAAGUUGGGAGAUAUCGUUCCAGCGGACGCCCGUUUACUUGAAGGAGACCCUCUCAAAAUAGACCAGUCCGCGCUUACAGGCGAAUCUCUACCUGUUACCAAGUAUCCUGGCGACGAAGUUUACUCGGGGUCGACAUGCAAGCAAGGAGAGAUUGAGGCAGUUGUGAUAGGGACGGGGGUUCACACUUUCUUUGGAAAGGCUGCACAUCUGGUAGACACUACAAAUCAAGUCGGUCAUUUCCAGAAGGUUCUUACAGCAAUCGGAAACUUCUGCAUAUGCUCCAUUGCGAUUGGAAUGGUUAUCGAACUUAUAGUAAUGUACCCCAUCCAACAUAGAACCUACAGGUCCGGGAUUGACAACCUGCUGGUACUUUUGAUUGGAGGCAUCCCCAUCGCUAUGCCCACUGUUCUCUCCGUGACAAUGGCAAUUGGCUCUCACCGGCUUGCGCAGCAGGGUGCUAUUACUAAGCGAAUGACUGCAAUAGAGGAGAUGGCAGGAAUGGAUGUCCUUUGCAGUGACAAGACCGGCACCUUAACUUUGAAUAAGCUAACCGUCGACAAGAAUCUCGUGGAGGUUUUUGCAAAAGGAUACGACAAAGAUUACGUUUUGCUACUUGCUGCUAGAGCGUCAAGGAUGGAAAAUCAAGAUGCCAUUGACGCAGCUGUUGUCGGUACGCUUGCUGAUCCAAAAGAGGCCCGUGCUGGUAUUGAGGAAGUUCACUUUCUUCCAUUUAAUCCUACGGAUAAGCGUACUGCUCUGACUUAUAUUGACUCUGACGGGAAGAUGCACAGAGCAAGCAAAGGCGCACCCGAGCAGAUAUUAGAUCUUUCUUACAAUAAGGUUGAGAUUGCUCAAAGGGUGCACGCCGUCAUUGACAAAUUUGCUGAGCGUGGCCUUCGCUCUCUUGCAGUCGCAUGCCAGGACGUUCCCGAGGGCAACAAAGAGAGUCCAGGGGGUCCAUGGCAAUUUGUAGGCUUAAUGCCUUUGUUUGAUCCUCCUCGGCAUGACAGCGCCGAGACUAUUCGUAGGGCCCUGAAUCUUGGGGUCAACGUAAAGAUGAUAACUGGGGACCAGCUUGCUAUUGGAAAAGAAACUGGCCGACGUCUUGGCAUGGGCACUAACAUGUAUCCGUCAUCUUCGCUUCUUGGACAAAGCAAAGGGGAGGCAUUUGAAGGAUUGCCAAUUGACGAACUGAUUGAAAAAGCCGAUGGAUUUGCGGGGGUAUUUCCAGGUAAUCUUGUUAUUUGCUGAAGCCAACUAUGUUACCUUUCUCAUGUGCAGAGCACAAGUACGAGAUAGUAAAGCGUUUGCAAAUGAAGAAGCAUAUAUGUGGAAUGACUGGUGAUGGUGUCAAUGAUGCGCCUGCUCUGAAGAAGGCAGAUAUAGGAAUUGCAGUGGCAGAUGCAACAGAUGCAGCAAGGGGUGCUUCAGAUAUAGUCCUGACAGAACCUGGCCUGAGCGUGAUAAUAAGCGCCGUGCUAACAAGUCGCGCGAUUUUUCAGAGGAUGAAGAACUAUACUAUUUAUGCCGUAUCCAUCACUAUAAGGAUAGUGCUUGGUUUUAUGCUGCUGGCGUUGAUAUGGAAGUUCGAUUUUCCCCCAUUCAUGGUGCUAAUCAUUGCAAUAUUGAACGAUGGCACAAUCAUGACCAUCUCCAAGGACAGAGUGAAACCAUCUCCUUUGCCUGACAGUUGGAAGCUCUCGGAGAUUUUUGCGACAGGAGUUGUGAUCGGCAGUUACCUUGCGCUUAUGACAGUCAUUUUCUACUGGCUGGCAGACCAGACUACCUUUUUCCCUGACCAUUUCCACGUUCCUCACAUUGGAAGCGAUGCCAACAAAAUGCAUUCGGCCAUCUAUUUGCAAGUUAGUAUCGUAAGCCAGGCUCUGAUUUUCGUCACGAGGUCGAGAAGCUGGUCCUUCAUGGAAAGGCCUGGAUUUCUUCUCGUUGUGGCGUUUCUUAUUGCCCAGCUGAUUGCGACUUUUAUUGCCGUGUACGCCAACUGGGGCUUUGCCUUUGUGGAGGGAAUUGGCUGGGGUUGGGCCGGUGUUAUAUGGCUAUACAACAUCGUCUUCUACUUCCCUCUGGAUGUUAUCAAGUUCGCUGUGCGUUACAUACUAAGUGGCAGAGCAUGGGAGCUUCUAUUCGAGCAAAGAACUGCUUUUACGCGCCAAAAAGACUUCGGAAGGGAGGCUCGGGAAGUGAAGUGGGCUCAGGCGCAACGAACUCUACACGGGCUCCAGCCACCGGACUUCAAGAUACCCGAGAAGGGUACUCACAAAGAGACGUCAGACAUGGCCGAGCAGGCUUUAAGGAGAGCCGAGAUUGCAAGGUUGAGAGAGCUUCACACUUUAAAGGGUCACGUCGAAUCUGUAGUGAGGUUGAAAGGUUUGGACAUCAACACCAUCCAGCAGGCCUACACUGUCUAGAGGCGAUCGAUCGAGUGAGCGACGCGAUAGUAGUGGAAUGUGGAUAUAUUUCCAGUGAUGCUAGUGAGCUAGCUAGCACAGCUAUGGUGGUUUGUAGCGUUUGGACAAUUAUCAUACUGACAUAUAUGUUGAAUAA